AAUAUUUCAGUUGCAAAAAUAAUAAGUUUUUUUUUGAAUAUUUAUAUUAAUUGAUUGAUGAACAGAAAUUUCAUGCACACUGAUUUUAAAAAAAUUAGAAAAAAUUUCAAGUACCGCUCAUGUCGUUUCAUAUUUUUUCACUUUAAUAUUUUUUAAUUUUAAAGUGUAUCAAUUUAAUGUCCCGUGGUUUCAUUUUAAUCUUUUUAUUAUCGAUUUCACGAAUUUUUUUCGUUAAAUCAGUGACAAAGUUAAAACUAAAGGGUACUAAAGUGAAUAUUUGAUAAACUUAGGUGGGGGUAUCUGAAGUUUUUUUAUACAUAAUUUAAUAAAAUAUUAACGGAGAAGCGGACGAAAAGAUCAAAAUAAAAUUAUAUGACACUAAUUUAAUAUGCUUUAAAUUACAUAAUGUUAAAAUAAAAAAAUACAAAACUACAGAAGUGGUUUUUGGAGUUUAUUCAAAAAAAAAUUCAUGGUGCUUGGCUU
rnacentral:lncRNA from 1 species